UACGGGGGGAGCAAGCGUUGUUCGGAUUUACUGGGCGUAAAGGGCGCGUAGGCGGUCGUGCCAGGUCCCUGGUGAAAUCUCCGGGCUUAACUCGGAACGGCCAAGUGAAACUGUCAUGCUAGAGUGCAGAAGGGGCAAUCGGAAUUCUUGGUGUAGCGGUGAAAUGCGUAGAUAUCAAGAGGAACACCUGAGGUGAAGACGGGUUGCUGGGCUGACACUGACGCUGAGGCGCGAAAGCCAGGGGAGCAAACGGG
rnacentral:rRNA from 1 species